rnacentral:lncRNA from 1 species
AUAAGUAUAUUACACUUAAAAGUACGAAAUGCUGGGAUGAACUACACUGUGAGAAAAUCCACUCAAAUUACACAUAAAAUCUGGGACAGGUUAUGCUGCAAGACUGAGACAAAUUACAUUACAAUGCAACAAAUGAGAUAAAAUCACAGUGGAAUUAAAACGGCUAAAAUACACUUAAAGUCUGUAAAUCUGAGAUGAAUUACACAGUAAAACUGACAUAAAGUUACAAUGAAAAUCUGGGAAAAUUACACAUAAAACUACACUGCAAUUACAAUAAAAAUCACCCUAGAAAUUCAGGGUUAAUUACACUAUACAAACUGGGAGAAAUUACCCCUGUAAGACUACAAAACUGAUAUUACACUGGAAGUCUGUGACGACACUGAAAAGAUCUGAUCAAACAAUUGACAACACUGAAAAGGGCCGAGCCAAAAGUACACAGAAAUUAAACUUAAAAUUCAUUCCUGCUAGAAGAAAAACAAACACGGUACAAAGGAGAACUACACCUCCAACAACAAAUCAGGAGCCUAAUUCAUUUGAAUACAAAAAAAGAGCUUGACACGAGCACCUAGCAUCUACCAGUACAUGAGCAGGGGCAAGAGCAGGAAAACACGCAGAAGCAUCAGGGAGCAUCCCGACACGAGCAGGAACGAGCUAGACAUCUACCAGUACAUCUACAACAUCCCGCAUGCUACAACUACAGACAUCCGCCAAGCUACAUCUACAGAAUCCCCAUCAGCUACAGGAACAUGAGCAGCUACAAGUACAUGAGCACCUACAGAUCGCCCUCUCACCUACAGGAACAUGAGCACCUACAGGAACAUCUACAGAAACAUCUACAGAAUCCCUCGCGUCUACAGGAACACGAGCACCUACAGGAACAUCUACAGAUCGCCCUCUCAUCUACAUGAACAGCUACAUCUCCACAGACAAAAGGGGGACAAAGCCGCUGCAUCUACAAACUACAACAGUACAAACAGCAGCGCGCGCGGGACGACCACAACAACCAGAAGCCUAGCAAUCUAGCGGCUGCACCACAUGCGCGAGAGGGCGACAUGAACUGACCUAGAUCUGGGACGAACAAGAGCAGAACAACACAAGCGCGCGACGGGGAGAGAGAGAGAGAGAGGAACAACCAACCGCGACACCGGGGAGCGAAGGGGAAGGGGAGAGAAAUCAAGCUCGAGUGGGAGAAGGUCUCGAAAUCGCCAUGGACGGGGAGAAUCGCCUCCUGCUCCGCCGCUCGAGCUCCCCCGCAGCCUUAUCCAAACAGAGAGGACGAAAUGAAAAGGGAGGAAAGGCACGUUAUCCCAAAUUCAAACGAGACAAAAAUCAGAGCCGGCCGGGCGCGGCGAUAACGGGCACAGAGAAAACCGCACAACACAAAAAAACCGGACCCGGCAACAAGACCAGCACGAAUCUCC